CGCAUAAUACCAUCAACUGGGCGCUUAAUGCGCCAAGGAAGUAAAUAAUGAAUUGUCUGUUCGCAUCUCGUUUGCAGGAAGUGGCGACAGUCUAAAGCACAAAAUGACUCUCGACAACGGAUAUCCCGGCUCUCGCAUCGAUGAAGAACGUAGCAAAAUGUGAUACUUGGUGUGAAUUGCAGAAUACCGUGAACCAUCGAGUCUUUGAAUGCAAGUUCCGCCCGAAGCCAUUAGGCCCAGGGCACGUCUACCUGGGUGUCACGCAUCGUGUUGCCCCUAACCAAUCAUCUCCUUGGGAGAUUUAUUUUGUUUAGGGGCGGAAAUUGGCCUCCCGUGCUGUUUGUGCGCGGGGCUCAAAAAUGAGUCUCUGGUGAUGGGCAUCACAUCAUCGGUGGUUGUAAGAAGACCUUCUUGUGUUGUUGUGUAUCUCCGCCACAACUGGGAAUUCGAGGGCCCUU
rnacentral:sRNA from 1 species